ACUGUGGUGGUUCAGUAGUAAAAUUCUUGACUCCCACGCAGGAGACCCAGGUUCAAUUCCUGGCCAAUGCA
rnacentral:tRNA from 1 species